rnacentral:rRNA from 1 species
UACGAGGGGGGCAAGCGUUGUUCGGAAUUAUUGGGCGUAAAGGGCGCGUAGGCGGUGCGGUAAGUCACCUGUGAAAACUCUGGGCUCAACUCAGAGCCUGCAGGCGAAACUGCCGUGCUGGAGUGUGGGAGAGGUGCGUGGAAUUCCCGGUGUAGCGGUGAAAUGCGCAGAUAUCAGGAGGAACACCGGUGGCGAAGGCGGGUCUCUGGGCCGAUACUGACGCUGAGGAGCGAAAGCGUGGGGAGCGAACAGG